GAAAUCAAUGUAAUUGCCCCCAAACACUUUAUAUCAGAGGUGUCCAAAAGGUAGAUCCACAGAUGUUUUAAAACUACAGCUUCCAUGAUGCUUUGUCGUACUAAAGGCACUCUAACGGCACGUAAAGAAUCAUGGGAGUUGAAGUUCUACAUCAUCUGUGGAUCUACCUUUUGGGCACCUCUGAUAUAAAGUGUUUGGGGCAAUUACAUUGAUUUC